CUUUUCCUGCUGUUGAGUUUGUCCAUCAGAUACAAGGACAGGACGAAACAACGAGGUUAGUAUAAUACCAGCUGAACAGCCUUGUAGGACGUAUUUUAUACAUCCUGAAGAACUGAAGGUACUUAACUGUUACCAAUUAAAAUGAAGUUUUCGUUUGUGCUAUGUCUUUGCAUCGUUCUGUUCGCCGGCCUAUUGGCCAUAAAGG